GACAAUACUGACACUCAUCUAAUAUGACACUAUUAGACUCGAAAACAAGCUGCAUGGUUCCUAAUGCUAGAACUGGAAUAAGGCUUCCAUCUCCAACAUUCAGGAACCGCUCGUCUUCUCUAAAUUUUCUACUGACCUGCAAUCCUUGCAAUGAAUUACAAAUAUUAAUCAAACUUUCAGUAUCUAAUAUCUAGGUAGUAGUAUCACAAACAAAGAAAUUAUAAGGAGUUAUCAUAUAAGUACCUUGUGAAGUAACUGAUUGCUUGUUUCUCUUAUUCUUUGACCUAUUUGGGUCAAGGAAAGCUAUAUAUGCCGGAC
rnacentral:lncRNA from 1 species